AUAGAUUAAGUUAUUAAGGGCGCACGGUGGAUGCCUUGGCACUAGAAGCCGAUGAAGGACGUUACUAACGACGAUAUGCUUUGGGUAGCUGUAAGUAAGCGUUGAUCCAGAGAUUUCCGAAUGGGGGAACCCAGCAUGAGUUAUGUCAUGUUAUCGACAUGUGAAUUCAUAGCAUGUCAGAAGGCAGACCCGGAGAACUGAAACAUCUUAGUCCCCGGAGGAAGAGA
rnacentral:rRNA from 1 species